rnacentral:rRNA from 1 species
CCUACGGGAGGCAGCAGUGAGGAAUAUUGGUCAAUGGCCGAGAGGCUGAACCAGCCAAGUCGCGUGAGGGAAGAAUGUCCUAUGGAUUGUAAACCUCUUUUGUCAGGGAGCAAAGUCACCCACGUGUGGGUGUUGGAGAGUACCUGAAGAAAAAGCAUCGGCUAACUCCGUGCCAGCAGCCGCGGUAAUACGGGGGAUGCGAGCGUUAUCCGGAUUUAUUGGGUUGAAAGGGUGCGUAGGCGGGUUAUCAAGUCAGCGGUAAAAUCGUGGAGCUCAACUCCAUCCAGCCGUUGAAACUGAUGUUCUUGAGUGGGCGAGAAGUAUGCGGAAUGCGUGGUGUAGCGGUGAAAUGCAUAGAUAUCACGCAGAACUCCGAUGGCGAAGGCAGCAUACCGGCGCCCGACUGACGCUGAAGCACGAAAGCGUGGGUAGCGAACAGGAUUAGAUACCCGAGUAGUC